AGAGUUUGAUCAUGGCUCAGGAUGAACGCUAGCGGCAGGCUUAACACAUGCGAGUCGAGGGGCAGCGCGAUGUAGCAAUACAUUGGCGGCGACCGGCGCACGGGUGCGUAACACGUAUGAAACUUGCCCUUUACUGGGAGAUAGCCCGGAGAAAUCCGGAUUAAUAUCCCAUAAUAAACGAGGUGGCAUCACCUUGUUUUGAAAGCUCCGGCGGUAAAGGAUGGUCAUGCGCACGAUUAGCUAGUUGGUGAGGUAAUGGCUCACCAAGGCGACAAUCGUUAGGGGGCCUGAGAGGGUUAUCCCCCACACUGGUACUGAGACACGGACCAGACUCCUACGGGAGGCAGCAGUGAGGAAUAUUGCGCAAUGGAGGCAACUCUGACGCAGCCAUGCCGCGUGCAGGAAGAAGGCGCUACGCGUUGUAAACUGCUUUUAACCGGGAAGAAACCCCAGGACGUGUCCUGGGUUGACGGUACCGGAGGAAUAAGCACCGGCUAACUUCGUGCCAGCAGCCGCGGUAAUACGAAGGGUGCAAGCGUUGUCCGGAUUUAUUGGGCGUAAAGGGCUCGUAGGCGGCUUGACAAGUCGGGCGUGAAAACCCGGGGCUUAACCCCGGGACGCCGUUCGAAACUGUCAUGGCUAGUUUCCGGUAGAGGUGAGUGGAAUUCUCGGUGUAGCGGUGAAAUGCGCAGAUAUCGAGAGGAACACCAGUAGCGAAGGC
rnacentral:rRNA from 1 species